GCAUAUCAUUAAGCGGAGGAAAAGAAACUAACAAGGAUUCCCCUAGUAACGGCGAGUGAAGAGGGAAGAGCCCAAGAUUGAAAGCUGGCGUCUUCGGCGUCCGCAUUGUAAUCUCAAGAAGUGUUUUCCGCUUCGGACCAUGCCUAAGUCCCUUGGAAAAGGGCAUCAUAGAGGGUGAUAAUCCCGUACAUGGCAUGGAGCGCCCGAAGCUUUGUGAUACGCUUUCUAAGAGUCGAGUUGUUUGGGAAUGCAGCUCAAAAUGGGUGGUAAAUGCCAUCUAAGGCUAAAUAUUGGGGAGAGACCGAUAGCGAACAAGUACAGUGAUGGAAAGAUGAAAAGAACUUUGAAAAGAGAGUUAAACAGUACGUGAAAUUGCCAAAAGGGAAGGGUAGGAGGUCAGAGAUGCGUUCUGGGAUUCAGCCUUGCUUUUGCUUGGUGUUUUUCCCAGAUUGCAGGCCAACGUCGGUUUUGGGCGCUGGAGAAGGGUGGAAGGAACGUGGCACCCCUCGGGGUGUGUUAUAGCCUUCUACUGGAUACAGUGACCGAGACCGAGGACAGCAGCGUACUCGCAAGAGCGGGCCUUCGGGCACCUUUACGCUUAGGGCGUUGGCAUAAUGGCCCUCUACCACCCGUCUG
rnacentral:rRNA from 1 species